GCUUCCUUCAGAAGCUUUAAAAUAAUUGCUACGGAGAGUGUGGAAUUUAUUUAAAUAUUACUGCGUCAUAUUAUUUUCUAAUCGUGUAAUAUGAAGGUACAAUGUGAAUCGUGUAUAUUGAGGAUUAAUAUAUCAUCGUCCAUAUUAAAACAGUUCCAUUUCUUUUUUUAUUUUUAAGUUCGAAUCUUAUAAAUUGGCGACAUCUUGAUAUGUGCCAUGCCAAAUAAUCUUUAUUUUCAGUGAUAAUCGCUUGACAUCCUCG
rnacentral:lncRNA from 1 species